UACGAAGGGGGGCUAGCGUUGUUCGGAAUUACUGGGCGUAAAGCGCACGUAGGCGGAUAUUUAAGUCAGGGGUGAAAUCCCAGAGCUCAACUCUGGAACUGCCUUUGAUACUGGGUAUCUUGAGUAUGGAAGAGGUAAGUGGAAUUGCGAGUGUAGAGGUGAAAUUCGUAGAUAUUCGCAGGAACACCAGUGGCGAAGGCGGCUUACUGGUCCAUAACUGACGCUGAGGUGGCG
rnacentral:rRNA from 1 species